rnacentral:rRNA from 1 species
UACGUAGGUGGCAAGCGUUGUCCGGAUUUACUGGGCGUAAAGAGCGCGCAGGCGGUCGUUCAAGUCGCGUGUGAAAGCCCCCGGCUCAACUGGGGAGGGUCACGCGAUACUGAUCGACUCGAAGGCAGGAGAGGGUAGUGGAAUUCCCGGUGUAGUGGUGAAAUGCGUAGAUAUCGGGAGGAACACCAGUGGCGAAGGCGGCUCACUGGCUCGAUUCUGACGCUGAGGUGCGAAAGCGUGGGGAGCAAACAGG